UCUUUUGGAUUUAGAUUGUCGUCGAAGGUGCACGUAAGUAUUCGUACUCUCCUAGUGGAAUAUCCGAAUAUUAUACGCAUUAAAAGUUUUUCUAAUAUAAUUCUGGAUGCUUUUGUGUUAAGUUGUAGGUUAGAUAUGUAUGUGAAUUUUCCGUUUUUGCUGGGGAUAGUCGCAUUAAAACAAUUAAACGACGUUAAAAUCUUUACUUGACUAGUUAUUUUAUGACGAAUGUGUGGUCAUGGUUGAGGGGUUACUGUCAUCGAGAUGACAUGUUAUUCGGGAUUGAAUUAUAAUGUGAAGUGCAGUUAAUGGUAUGGCUAGAAAUUUUAUUUGCAUGUGUCUUGUUCAAACAUUUUAAAAUUUCCUGAAGGGUAGGAUGACUGUGGAUAACUUGGUUGGCAUUUCAAAAGCUUAUACUACUUGCUUGUUUGUCUCCUAUCAGGCUGCAUCGCCUAGUUGAUCCAUGGUAAUGGCUUUGUUAAAAAUUGAGAACAUUGUGUAGGGGAUAAGAGGUUGUCAUAUUAAGUUUUUUCUAGGGUCAAUCCUCCAUUGUAGAUACAGUUGCAUGUGCCAUCAGAUCUCAUGGAUCUGAAGACAUGCUGGACCAAUACUUAGUGGUCAAGCAGCCUGGUGCCAUGCAGUACACUUAGCUGAGCCUCCUAUGUGUUAAAGUUACCAUUGAGCAAUUGCAAUUUUUUCGUUAAUGGUGACUUAACAUUAAUAUGAGAAGGUAAGAUUUGGAUUUCAAUAAAUUGCAAACGUUUUGGUAUAGAUCUGUUUCAUUAAAGUUUUCAUUGUUUAAUUUUUAACACUUCAUUAUGCUAAUUUUUCUUUCAGUUUGAUAUAGGAGGAAUUUAAAGUGAAGCUUCUUUUUCACCCUGGUGGAAUGGUGAAGGUAAAUUUGCAAAGAUGAAUGUUUUAUAAUUAAGUGGAUUAUGUGCCUAUUAGUUCCUGUCCUUUUCUGGAUUUGAUUUUGUUUUAUGGUACAUCAUUUUGUUGAUUGUGUCGUAGGUCUGCUAGUGUUGGUUGAUUAAUACCAGGUACAAUGAUGCAUACAUCAUGGGUUACUUUUCCAGAAGUUUUUCUAAUUUACAUGACUUGAUCAUGUUGCUGGUCGAAAAAAUGUUUUAUUAUGAUAUCCUGUUCAGAUCACAAACUAGUAUUGGAUAUUCUAUUUCCAGGUUGUUUAAGCAUGCUUCCAUUGUUGAAUUUGGAAGUGUGAUAUUGGCUAUUGUCUCCUUGUAUAAAAGGUAUACAAUGCUAAAGGUUUUAUCUUGGUCUUUAUUUUUCCAACUGAAUGUUGUAACCUCUGUUUCUUAAAAUUGAUAAAGGUUGGUCUUUUGGUAUGGCCGGCUAGCUAGGUUUUUCCGUUGCCCGUUUCUUCUGCUACCUAGAGGUAUUGUUUAUUCUAGAAAUAGGUGCAUUUUCUGAAAUUGAUGUCGAAUUUAACUACAUUCCGUUUGGUUGUCGAUCUCUAAAAAUUUGAAUUAGCUGAGUGUAUGAAAUUCUUUCUUUUCAGAUUUUUGCUGUGAGUUUUGACCCUUGGUUCUGUGCAUUGAAUUAGCAGUUUUCUGCUUCGGAUAAUUUCAUUAAAACUAAAUUAUUAAUAUCUUAGUUAGUUUAGUGAACAAAUUGAAAAGUAUCCAUUACCUAAGAUAUUUCGCGUUUAUAUAUUUUUCGCAUUCGUGUAAAUUUUGCGUUCCUCUUGGAUUUAUUUUGCAUGAUUGGUGAGUUUCCGAUUUAGUUGAAAAUUCGCGUGAAUCUGAGUAUACCAUUUUGCGCUGCGAUUAAUGUUGAUAUCAACUACCAUUUCGUUCUUAUUCCCUUUUUAGGUGGCUCGGUCUUAGCUAGGGGAUGUCCAAUUGUGAGUAUAUUGGUGAUGCAUUAACGACCUACUUUUUAGUGAUUAGUAGGUAUGGUCUUCGUUGGCAAAGUCUCCCACUACCUGUCCAAAAAUACACGUGAAACAAAAUUCAAUAAAUGAUAGCGAAGAUAUGGGUUUUAGUUUUUAGCAACCCAUGCAAAUCUUGUACCAAUGUUGGUCACUUUACUUUUAAUGGGCUUUGUUUAGAGCUUCUGGAUCAUAAUCGAAAAGGCCGGUGAUGGUAAUUUAACGGGAAAGAAUUGUGUCGUUAAUUCGAUGGUAUUGUUUGUGGCAUUUGGCGGAGCAUCCGAAGAUUUUCUUAAAAAUAAAAUCUCUUUUACAAUUUU